rnacentral:rRNA from 1 species
UGGGGAAUAUUGGACAAUGGGCGCAAGCCUGAUCCAGCAAUGCCGCGUGGAUGAAGAAGGUCUUCGGAUUGUAAAGUCCUUUCGGCGGGGACGAUGAUGACGGUACCCGCAGAAGAAGCCCCGGCUAACUUCGUGCCAGCAGCCGCGGUAAUACGAAGGGGGCUAGCGUUACUCGGAAUGACUGGGCGUAAAGGGCGCGUAGGCGGUUUGGACAGUUAGGCGUGAAAUUCCUGGGCUCAACCUGGGGGCUGCGCUUAAUACAUCCAGACUUGAGUGUGGAAGAGGGUCGUGGAAUUCCCAGUGUAGAGGUGACAUUCGUAGAUAUUGGGAAGAACACCGGUGGCGAAGGCGGCGACCUGGUCCAUUACUGACGCUGAGGCGCGAAAGCGUGGGGAGCAAACA